AGCAGCGUGGCUCAGUGGAAAGAGCCUGGGCUUUGGAGUCAGAGGUCAUGGGUUUGACUCCCAGCUCUGCCA
rnacentral:tRNA from 1 species